UCUCCCUCCCCAAGGCCUGUCCUGAUCCAGGAACCUCCAAGCCUUUUGCCUGGUCUCCAGGCUCCUAGACUCUCCUGCCUUGAAUCCACCCUCCAAAAGGAGCCCCAGUGAGGACUGAGCCCUGGAACUGCCUUCAUUAUUUAGGACUGGGAGCCCCAGCAGGACAGGACUGGAACCAUCGUGGUCACUGUUGUGUCUCCUGCACCACCCAACACCAGGCCAGGCAUAGAGGAGAUUUUGUUCAAUGCAACUGUUUGUUCAAUGUCAUUCAUUCAAUAAAUAUUUACAGAGCACCAA